rnacentral:tRNA from 1 species
UUCUCUUAUUACAGUAGUAUAGAUGACUUCCAAUCAUCAGACUUUGGUUAAACCCCAAGAGAGAAUA